rnacentral:rRNA from 1 species
GAACCAGUACCGUGAGGGAAAGGUGAAAAGUACCCCGGGAGGGGAGUGAAAAGAACAUGAAACCAUAAACUUACAAGCAGUAGGAGGACGACUAAAACGUCUAACUUCGUGCCUGUUGAAGAAUGAGCCGGCGACUUAUAAGUAGUGGCAGGUUAAAGCAGAGAAUGCUGAAGCCAUAGUGAAAGCGAGCCUGAAUAGGGCGUACGUCACUGUUUAUAGACCCGAACCCGGAUGAUCUAACCAUGGCCAGGUUGAAGCUUAGGUAAUACUAAGUGGAGGACCGAACCGACUGAUGUUGAAAAAUCAGCGGAUGAGUUGUGGUUAGGGGUGAAAUGCCAAUCGAAUUCGGAGCUAGCUGGUUCUCCCCGAAAUGCGUUUUGGCGCAGCGGUAAAUGUUAUAAUUUAGGGGUAAAGCACUGUUACGUAUGCGGGCUGGUAAUUCGGUACCAAAUCGUUGCAAACUAAGAAUACUAAAUGGAUAAUUUACCAGUGAGACUGUGGGGGAUAAGCUUCAUUGUCAAGAGGGAAACAGCCCAGAGCACCAGUUAAGGCCCCAAAAUAAUUACUAAGUGGCAAAGGAGGUGGGAGUGCAGAAACAAUCAGGAGGUUUGCUUAGAAGCAGCAAUCCUUUAAAGAGUGCGUAAUAGCUCACUGAUCGAGUAAACCUGCGCCGAAAAUGUACGGGACUAAGUAAUUUGCCGAAACUGUGCGAUAUAUUGAAUAUAUCGGUAGGGGAGCGUUCUGUUGUAGGUUGAAGUAUUAGCGGAAGCGGAUAUGGACGAAGCAGAAGUGAGAAUGUCGGCUUGAGUAACGAAAAUAUAGGUGAGAAUCCUAUACCCCGAAAACCCAAGGUUUCCUCCGGAAGGCUCGUCCGCGGAGGGUAAGUCAGGACCUAAGGCGAGGCUGAAAAGCGUAGUCGAUGGAUAACGGGUUAAUAUUCCCGUACCAUUAUUUGUUGAUAUCGAGGGACGGAGAAGGCUAAGCUAGCCGGAUAUUGGUUUACCGGUUUAAGCGUUCGAGAUGUUGAGGAACGGAGAAAACGUUCUGAGUUGAGGCGUGAAUACGAGAUGCUACGGCGUCGAAGUAGUGUAUGUCAGACUUCCAAGAAAAGCUCGCAAUGUCGUAGAUAAAAAAUGCCUGUACCAUAACCGACACAGGUGGGUAGGUAGAGUAUACUAAGGGGCGCGAGAUAACUCUCUCUAAGGAACUCGGCAAAAUAACUCCGUAACUUCGGGAGAAGGAGUGCCUUAUUUAAUAAGGUUGCAAUAACAAGAUCCAAGCAACUGUUUACCAAAAACACAGGUCUCCGCUAAGUCGUAAGACGAUGUAUGGGGGCUGACGCCUGCCCAGUGCCAGAAGGUUAAAGAAGUUGGUUAGCAUUAGCGAAGCUGAUAACUGAAGCCCUGGUGAACGGCGGCCGUAACAAUAACGGUCCUAAGGUAGCGAAAUUCCUUGUCGGGUAAGUUCCGACCUGCACGAAUGGUGUAACCAUGGCCACGCUGUCUCCACCCGAGACUCAGUGAAAUUGAAAUCGCAGUGAAGAUGCUGUGUACCCGCACCUAGACGGAAAGACCCCGUGAACCUUUACUACAGCUUGGCACUGAACAUUGAACCUACAUGUGUAGGAUAGGUGGGAGGCUUUGAAGCACAGUCGCUAGAUUGUGUGGAGCCGUCCUUGAAAUACCACCCUUGUAUGUUUGAUGUUCUAACAUUGGUCCCUUAUCGGGAUUGUGGACAGUGUCUGGUGGGUAGUUUGACUGGGGCGGUCUCCUCCCAAAUAGUAACGGAGGAGCACGAAGGUUAGCUAAUCACGGUCGGACAUCGUGAGGUUAGUGCAAUGGCAUAAGCUAGCUUAACUGCGAGACAGACACGUCGAGCAGGUACGAAAGUAGGUCAUAGUGAUCCGGUGGUUCUGUAUGGAAGGGCCAUCGCUCAACGGAUAAAAGGUACUCCGGGGAUAACAGGCUGAUGAUGCCCAAGAGUCCAUAUCGACGGCAUCGUUUGGCACCUCGAUGUCGGCUCAUCGCAUCCUGGGGCGGUAGUACGUCCCAAGGGUUGGGCUGUUCGCCCAUUAAAGUGGCACGCGAGCUGGGUUCAGAACGUCGUGAGACAGUUCGGUCCCUAUCUGGUGUGGGCGUUGGAUGAUUGAUGGGAGCUGCUCCUAGUACGAGAGGACCGGAGUGGACGAACCGCUGGUGUUCGGGUUGUCAUGCCAAUGGCAUUGCCCGGUAGCUAUGUUCGGAACGGAUAACCGCUGAAAGCAUCUAAGCGGGAAGCCGGCCCAAAGAUGAGUCAUCCCUGAACUUUAAGUUCUGGAAGGGUUGUUAUAGACGAUGACGUUGAUAGGCAGGGUGUGGAAGCGUUGUAAGGCGUUAAGCUAACCUGUACUAAUUGCCCGAGAGGCUUAACC